rnacentral:rRNA from 1 species
GAUGAACGCUGGCGGCGUGCCUAAUACAUGCAAGUCGAGCGAACAGACGAGGAGCUUGCUCCUCUGACGUUAGCGGCGGACGGGUGAGUAACACGUGGAUAACCUACCUAUAAGACUGGGAUAACUUCGGGAAACCGGAGCUAAUACCGGAUAAUAUAUUGAACCGCAUGGUUCAAUAGUGAAAGACGGUUUUGCUGUCACUUAUAGAUGGCUCCGCGCCGCAUUAGCUAGUUGGUAAGGUAACGGCUUACCAAGGCAACGAUGCGUAGCCGACCUGAGAGGGUGAUCGGCCACACUGGAACUGAGACACGGUCAAGACUCCUACGGGAGGCAGCAGUAGGGAAUCUUCCGCAAUGGGCGAAAGCAUGACGGAGCAACGCCGCGUGAGUGAUGAAGGUCUUCGGAUCGUAAAACUCUGUUAUUAGGGAAGAAAAAAUGUGUAAGUAACUAUGCACGUCUUGACGGUACCUAAUCAGAAAGCCACGGCUAACUACGUG